rnacentral:lncRNA from 1 species
AGCCUUGUGAUUCAUACUGUGUGAAGUAUAACUUAAUCAGGUAUUUUCUUAUAUUUCAAACUAUAUUACUGAAUUGAACAGAAUGGUGUAAUGAAUAUUUUGUUUCUCACUACUUACAAGCAGUGAGAAUUCACUCACAUUCAGUGUUAUUAGUGCAACACUGAGGAAAUCAGAUUUGUCUGUCUUCUCACAAUGAAGUUUCUCUGUGCCAAACUUGUUAAUAAAUGUCAUUUCACGAAAGCUAUUUGAAAAGGUGAACAUCUCUGUAUUUCAGCUCAAAUGUUCACUGAUAGAAAAGAGGAAUGUCAUGGAUAGGGUUGGAGAGGCUUCUUUGUUUUUCAUUUUAAGCUCUAGAAGGAAGAACAACUUUUACUGGUCUGAGUGCCCUUAAUUGAUUACUUUAUCAUAUGUAUAGCAUUAUCUCUAAUGCUUACGUAAACAAAUCACUUUUUUUCAUUGCAGAGUCGUUUGUUAUUGUUUGCCUCUUUCACAAAUGUGAAUGGAAACUGAACUUCUUGUGCAUUCUUGUUUUGUAUUUAAAUGUCACUUACCUUGGGAAACAACUAAUCUUUAAAACAUCUGUGAUAGACUAUGCAUUAGUUUUUACAUGCUUCUAAUAACUUGAAGAACUGUAUGCAAAUUGCUGAAUCCAUGAAGCUUAUACUGUUUGAUUUAUAUAGAGUGAAUAAGCAAUGUUUAGAAAAGAGCUUGAAGGUUUAAAGUAAGAAGUGCAUAGACAGUUGAAAGUGCUGAUAAAUAUCUUAGAAUGCCAAAGUAAUAAACAGAACAAAAAGUGAGAACACUGCUACACAAACAGAUAGUUUGGUUUGAUGUCUUAAACCUGAAAAGAAACACUGCUUCAUAUGAAUGUGUUUUCAUCAGUGGGAUAUGAAAGGAUAUUUGGCCCUGUUCUACAUAACAAUAGAUUUCAGUACCUAAUUCCUUCUUAUGAGGCUGCCACUUGAAAGUCAGAUGCCUUUAAUACAGGCAGUCAGUACUCCUCAGUCACUGUAGGGCUAACAGAACUAGUGAGGAGAUAUUGCACAAUGGAGCAUGCUCAAAGCAUAAAUGCUGAAUGGACAAAUGCACCAAGUAAGGCUUUUGUAUUGGUUCAGAAACAGACAUAUCGAUAUUCUGUCAUCCCAAUUUCAGGUGAAGUGAUCGGCCUGUACAGAGUCCAAUACAAAGUAAAGUCAGUAAAUAUGAGGAAAGCCCAUGAAACUGCCAGACUUCAGGCAGAAAUCAGAGAGAAAUCACAGCUCCUGGACACAAUGUGUAACAGUGUUCCACUACAGAGAGAGCAGUAA